rnacentral:rRNA from 1 species
UACGUAGGGGGCAAGCGUUGUCCGGAAUCAUUGGGCGUAAAGAGCGUGUAGGCGGCUUGGUAAGUCCGCUGUGAAAGUCCAGGGCUCAACCCUGGAAAGCCGGUGGAAACUGUCAAGCUUGAGUCCGGAAGAGGCGAGUGGAAUUCCUGGUGUAGCGGUGAAAUGCGUAGAUAUCGGAAGGAACACCAGUGGCGAAAGCGGCUUCCUGGUCCAGCACCGACGUUCAGGCACGAAAGCGUGGGGAGCAAACAGG